AGCGAACGCUGGCGGCAGGCCUAACACAUGCAAGUCGAACGAAGUCUUCGGACUUAGUGGCGGACGGGUGAGUAACACGCGGGAACGUACCUUUUGGUUCGGAACAAUUCCGGGAAACUUGAGCUAAUACCGGAUGAGCCCUUAGGGGGAAAGAUUUAUCGCCGAAAGAGCGGCCCGCGUUAGAUUAGCUAGUUGGUGAGGUAAAGGCUCACCAAGGCUACGAUCUAUAGCUGGGCUGAGAGGAUGAUCAGCCACACUGGGCCUGGGACACGGCCCAGACUCCUACGGGAGGCAGCAGUGGGGAAUCUUGCGCAAUGGGCGAAAGCCUGACGCAGCCAUGCCGCGUGAAUGAUGAAGGUCUUAGGAUUGUAAAAUUCUUUUACCAGGGACGAUAAUGACGGUACCUGGAGAAAAAGCCCCGGCUAACCUCGUGCCAGCAGCCGCCGUAAAAC
rnacentral:rRNA from 1 species